UGUACAUGCCUGGUGUGUGUGGAGGUCAGAAGAGAUUGUCAGAUCCCUGGGACUGAAGUUAUGGAUAGUUGUGAACCUGCAUCUUCUGCAAGAAAAACAGAAGUGAUUAGGAAGCCCCGGGUAUCUGCGUAGAGCUCCCGAGCGUGGCCUCCGCAGUGACGCCCUGAGCAGGAGUCGUCUGUCCUCUUGAUUCUGCUUGUUGGAUCCAUCGUAUCUGCGAGAUGUUUUGCUGGGGUGAAGUUAUCCUCAGGCUCUCACACCACCUGGUGAUUCCCCUGUUGUAGUCACAGAUAUCCUUCCUUUCUGUAAGCUGAGUUGUUUCUUUCUAGUCAUAAUUUGUAUUUACUAACACAUGAACAAGCCAAGUUAGGUAUGCCUUUGUUGAUGCUUUAAUUGGAGGUUUCUGUUUGGGUCUUAAGACCAUGAGAAGUAGGAAUGUGUUUUUUAAGAAAAGGAAGGAAGGAAGGAAGGAAGGAAGGAAGGAAGGAAGGAAGGAAGGAAGGAAGGGAAAGGAAAGGAAAGAACGAAAGCCUGGCGUGCUAGCCUGACAUGUUUACCCAACACUGGAGAGGCUGAAACAAAAGCAUUAAAAAUUUCAGGCCAGCCAAACAUGUAAAAUCCUGUCUUGGGGGUAGAGGGGGAAUCAAA